rnacentral:rRNA from 1 species
GUCAGCGCAGCUGAUCAGCCAUGCCGCGUGCGUGAGACGGCCUCUAGUGGUUGUGUAACCGUUUUUGCACGGAAGAGAACCCCACGCUCGUGAGCGUGGUUGACGGUACCGUGGGAAUAAGGAUCGGCUAACUCCGUGCCAGCAGCCGCGGUAAUACGGAGGAUCCGAGCGUUAUCCGGAAUCAUUGGGUUUAAAGGGUCCGUAGGCGGGGUGUUAAGCCAGUGGUGAAAGUCGGCCGCUCAACUGUCCAACUGCCGUUGGAACUGGCAUCCUUGAUUAGUCGUGAAGUGGUUGGAACGUGCGGUGUAGCGGUGAAAUGCAUAGAUAUCGCACAGAACGCCGAUUGCGAAGGCAGGCCACUAACGAUUUACUGACGCUGAGGGACGAAAGCGUGGGGAGCGAACGGAAUUAGAUACCCCGGUAGUCCACGCCGUACACGAUGGUCACUAACUGCCCGUUGCGCUUAAUGCGCGAUGGGUGGCCAAGCGAAAGUGAUAAGUGACCCACCUGGCGAGUACGUUCGCAAGAAUGAAACUCAAAGAAAUUUGACGGA